UACGUAGGGGGCAAGCGUUGUCCGGAUUUAUUGGGCGUAAAGAGCUCGUAGGCGGUUUGGUAAGUCUGGUGUGAAAUCUCCACGCUCAACGUGGAGGGGCCACCCGAUACUGCCAUGACUGGAGUCCGGUAGAGGAGUGUGGAAUUCCCGGUGUAGCGGUGAAAUGCGCAGAUAUCGGGAGGAAUACCGGUGGCGAAGGCGGCAUCCUGGACCGACAUUGACGCUGAACGGCGAAAGCUAGGGGAGCAAACGGG
rnacentral:rRNA from 1 species